GAAAACCCUAGCGCCCUGCCUCACAAUCCCGAACGUCCAUCCUCGUCAUCUUCGUCCUCAGCUUCCAGUCUGCAAGUGGAAGAUGAGGUAGAGACCAAGAAGUAGAACCCGACUGCACGAUAAAGAAGAGGCAAAAAGUGACUCUGAAGCAAAUCAAUUUCAGCCAGAAGGAACUCAAAAAUUGUGUUGACAGGGAUAUUACCAUAAUGCAAAAAUAUGCUGCAAGUCAAUUCAGGUUUUCCAGGUCAUUUAUAAUCUACUAACCAGAUUCCAGUAGUAUUAAAUAUGGCAGAAGACAUCAGAGGAGAAGACCUUUAUCUGAAGAAAAAGAUGAAGACCGAUGGGCAUGACCAACAUUUUCCUAUGAAGAAAACAAAUAAGGUUGCGGUGCAAGGUGCAGAGGUCCCCUGCAGCGUGUGGAGGUGGUUGGCCUUGGCCAGGUCAAGUUGUCGAUGCCGGUGACCUCUCUAUAUCCACUAUGUAGAGUUGGUGUUCCUCAUUCCAUUAUCUGAAAAUUCAUUUAGAAUAAGGCCACUUGCGCAUCCAGUUUUAUGAAGGAUUGUCAAGCUAAAAAUAAAAGAUGGAGGCCAUGGAUAUCUCUACUAAAAGUAUUGCAUGGCGUCAUGACAUCCUCCUCUUCACGUAUGGCGCCUGCAGAUGGCGUAACCUUCAGGUGAGAUCCUCCUCCACUUGAAGUGUUCGCUAUUUUUUCAUGAAAACAUUCACAUUUCGAGUAUUUUUUUCAUCACUUUUAUUAUAAAUCACGGAUAUGGAGAUACAUAUUAGGGAGUAAGUUUGUUAAUAUACUUCUGAAGGUUGCAGCAUGCACAAAAGAAUUCGGUGGUAAGCUUCCAUAGUUUUUUUUUAUAGAAGAACAAUAUUUAGUUAUAUCAUCCUACUGGCAUAAUGAUAUGUUGUGUGUGUUGAUGGAAUUGACCAUCAAGCUGGAGAGGCUCUUUAACCAGCAAUACAUAUAUCGCCUGACACCAUGGGGUAUGUCUAUUUUUAUUCCUGAUUUAUUUGUGGUUGCAGCAAGGUAGAUUAUGUCUUUCUGGUCUACCUAUUAAUCGUGUGAGAGUUAAGAGAGUGAUUAAUGACAUAUGAUGUGCACUUUUGUAGCUGUGAGGGAACAUUGAAGUGAAGUUACAUCAUUAAACUUCGGAAUGCUUUUAAAUAUCUGCUAAUUAUCACCCUUUAUUGGUUGCUUUUCUUGAUGAAUAGCUUCAACGAUGACAAUUUGAGUUAUACAAAAUGACGAGUCAGUGCUUAAUUUUGAAAACCAUAAUUUCUUACUUACCUUCUUGAUCAUUACAGGGCACCUGCAAGCAAGCUCCACCAGAAUCUCCGUUUCCACUACAGGUCGAUCACCUUCUCCAAAGUAUUGAAAUGUUAUGGUGAUUUGUAGGCGAAGUUUAAAAUAGCUCUGCGGCAUUCUGCUCUAUUUGAGUAUUGCAAAGCACUCCAAGAGGUCUUUGUUUUCUUUGGUGGAGUUAUUCUUUGCUAAAUUUAGCAAAUAUGUAUCAUUUAAGAUAAAUUUAGGAUGAUUGGAAUGCAAACGUGGUUCUUCUGGCUAUAGUUCCUACUUGUGCUGGUUUGCAAAGAGGAAUUUAGAUGAGUGUAUUUCUUGGCAAUCGGCUGCAGGUGUAUAUGCACCUUAGUUUGAGAGAUUUUUAGAUACCAAGAAGAAACUGAAGGUCGGGAGAAAUGAAGUCCUCAACCAAAUAAGAUCACCGCCUCCACCCUGUGCGGCGUUGUCGUCCCCAUCAAGCCGCACCAGAGGGAGAUGCUUAGCUGCGGCCACACAAACGGACGGGGACGUCAAGCCAAGCUGGUGGCUGGCGGCCUACCAUCGCGUCAACUUACACAGGAUAGGAGAGCCCUCGAAAAAAAACACAGGAUAGGAGCAGAGGAAUCUUGAGCGUGGUGUCCAGACCUGGAGUGGAGGACAUGGGUCGCCAUGAAGGUUGCAGGCCACAAUACUGAUUGGUUGUGCUUUUCCCCCCACAUCCUUCCUUGAACAUCUCUUUCUGACUCCAACCUCGAUCUGCAGCAAUUGCUCCUUCAUUGUGAAGUUGCAGGUGUAUACAGAAGCUUUUUGUGUAAAUGCCUACGAGCAAAGACCGCUCCUGGAAGAAUGCUCACAAGUCAGCUUGAAUUUGUAAGUUAAUUGUCCUCUCAGAUGCACCCCUCUUGAUGCUUUAUAUGUUUCAACAUGGAUUCUUGGUUCCUAUAAAUUUAUAGGUUGUGAUGUUGUGAUGAACUUGCAGAAAUGAAGUGAUUUGGGUAACAUCUUGCUUUUUAAAAUGGCUUUCAUUUACUUCUGUGGCAUUGAAGGAGGGAGGCAAUUCCUCCCAACUACAGAAUUUGCAGCGGCUGAAGAUGCUAGAAGUACAGAGAUAAAAUGCUUCAUGUGAUGAGUGGUGUAAUUAAAUUGGAGAGAAACAUGAAGAAGUUUGAUGGCACCCAUUCUUAGGUUGAAAAUUGACUGUCCGAUCCAGUUCUUGCUCUUUCUUGCUUUAUCACUUUAUUAUGUAGUUCCUGAUUUUGGAAGAUGUAUUAUCUGGUCA